AUUGAACGCUGGCGGCAGGCCUAACACAUGCAAGUCGAACGAGUGGCGGACGGGUGAGUAAUGUCUGGGAAACUGCCUGCUGGAGGGGGAUAACUACUGGAAACGGUAGCUAAUACCGCAUACCAUCGGAUGUGCCCAGAUGGGAUGAGCUAGUAGGUGGGGUAAAGGCUCACCUAGGCGACGAUCCCUAUCUGGGCUGAGAGGAUGACCAGCCACACUGGAACUGAGAAACGGGCCAGACUCCUACGGGAGGCAGCAGUGGGGAAUUUUGGACAAUGGGCGCAAGCCUGAUCCAGCCAUGCCGCGUGUCUGAAGAAGGCCUUCGGGUUGUAAAGGACGUUUGUCAGGGAAGCGGGACCUGAAGAAUAAGCACCGGCUAACUCCGUGCCAGCAGCCGCGGUAAUUC
rnacentral:rRNA from 1 species